GAGGCGGGGGCGCGGCCGCGGGCGUAGCAGGUGUGUGCGGGCAGGUGUUGGCGAGCGAGCGUGGUACGGGGACAGCGACCACGGUGCGCAUGGCGAGGGGCGGCCACGAGCGCUGCGGGCGCGCGCGUGCGGGUGCGGCUCGGAGCACGAGCUCCGGCGCGCGGCCAAGGAGUAGAGGGGAAGCAGCGGGCGCUGACAAAUGGCGAGCGAGCGUGGUACGGGGACGACGACCGCGAGCUGCACAAGGUGGUCGUGGACGCGGCGAAGUGCGGGCGAGAGGGUCACCGGAGUGCACGCAAGGUGUUCGAGGAAAUGCCAGAGAGAGGAGGAGGAGGAGGAGGAAGAAGAUUGAUGCUGACAGGUGGGCUCAUCCUGUCAGAAAUGCGUUUAGAAGAGGCGAAGCGAGCGAUUUCGCGACUUGGUAGUUUUUUGCCACGGAUUAGGAAAAAAAUGGUAGUUUUUCGCACAGAAUCGUAAAGCGGUAGUUUUUCGUCACGGUUCCGUGAAUUGUGGUAGUUUUUGGUUAAAUACUCCCCAUUUUUAUUGUAUACUCGUAGUUAGGUAGCCAGCAAGAUGCAACAAAUUCGAUGAAACUUUGUAAACAAAUUCCAGGGCAAUCUGAUACUACUCGUUUAUUUUCUGAAUGGAGUAGAUCAAGCCACGCAAUGUUGACAUGUUUGACUUUAAAAAACAUGCACUACAUUUUUGAAUGACAAGAGUAUUUUAAAUAUGAUAUGAAAAACUAGUGUCUCAUCAUUCGAGAAGGGCUCUUAUUUUUGUCAGUGAGGAGCUGAUUUUGUGGGCUGUUUCUUAUAACUAUCAAAAGGCCCGUGUAUUGCAACUGAUACAAAAUUAAUUUGCCACUCAAACAACAUUUUGUAAGUAAAAAUAAUAGUGGCGGCUGGCCGAGCGGCACACAUGAGGAAUGAGGCAGGAUUGGGGGAGGAAGAUUCAAGGGAUGAAAAAAACGGAAGAGGGGUCAAAGCGUUUUUUUCCUUUCUAUUUAGCGUCGACAUAGUAGGUAAUUUUCUUUAACUAUAUAGGCAAUUUCAAGCAAUGAAUAAGAAAUGAAGAAGCACCCUUACUUUAAGAACAUGAGAAUAUCAGUGGAAACAAUUACGUGAUAUGUUCAUGUGCAUGGAGAACCGUCGUACCAAGUAUUCGAUUAUGGGCCUGAAGAUUGUUUGAAUAGAUCAUUAUGUAGCCACACACACAAAGCAGAGCAGCCACUGCUGCUAGGGCGAGAUGCCCGCCUGAUGUCUCUUGCGCGCGCUUCUGUUGAGCCUUCUCGUCGCUUGUUGAAGCACUACACUGGCACAAAGAUUCGAACGGGAUUUUCUUUUUCCGUUUUAAAAUCUCACCCGAUCUCUUCCCUUUUCCAAGAUUCUUCUUCCUUUAUCCAAUCUCCUCCCAUGAUUUCACUAUAUAACUUGCCCUUGUAGCCUUGUUCCGUCCAUUAACUUGCCCUUCGUAGCCCUCGUUUGAUCCAUUUUCUUUCAAGACGUGAUCCCUGUUUGGGGGCGCAUUUUUUGGUUCUUUCUCCGUUGUAUUGACAUAGAUCUUUUUUUUCCUUAAUUUCCU
rnacentral:rRNA from 1 species